CCCUUAGGUGUCCUGGGCCGCACGCGUGCUACACUGAUGCAUACAGCGAGUACUUUCCAGCUCCGCGAGGCAGCUGGUAAUCAGCAAUAUGCAUCGUGCUGGGGAUAGAUCUUUGGAAUUAUAGAUCUUGAACGAGGAAUUCCUAGUAAGCGCAAGUCAUUAGCUUGCGCUGAUUAAGUCCCUGCCCUUUGUACACACCGCCCGUCGCUCCUACCGAUUUCGAGUGAUUCGGUGAACCUUUUGGACAGCGUCUGUCCUCGUGUCAGAUGCUGAAAGUCAAGUAAACCAUAUCACUUAGAGGAAGGAGAAGUCGUAACA
rnacentral:rRNA from 1 species